UGGGGAAUUUUGGACAAUGGGCGAAAGCCUGAUCCAGCAAUGCCGCGUGUGUGAAGAAGGCCUUCGGGUUGUAAAGCACUUUUGUCCGGAAAGAAAUCCUUGGCUCUAAUACAGUCGGGGGAUGACGGUACCGGAAGAAUAAGCACCGGCUAACUACGUGCCAGCAGCCGCGGUAAUACGUAGGGUGCAAGCGUUAAUCGGAAUUACUGGGCGUAAAGCGUGCGCAGGCGGUUUGCUAAGACCGAUGUGAAAUCCCCGGGCUCAACCUGGGAACUGCAUUGGUGACUGGCAGGCUAGAGUAUGGCAGAGGGGGUAGAAUUCCACGUGUAGCAGUGAAAUGCGUAGAGAUGUGGAGGAAUACCGAUGGCGAAGGCAGCCCCCUGGGCCAAUACUGACGCUCAUGCACGAAAGCGUGGGGAGCAAACAGGAUUAGAUACCCUGGUAGUCCACGCCCUAAACGAUGUCAACUAGUUGUUGGGGAUUCAUUUCCUUAGUAACGUAGCUAACGCGUGAAGUUGACCGCCUGGGGAGUACGGUCGCAAGAUUAAAACUU
rnacentral:rRNA from 1 species